rnacentral:rRNA from 1 species
UGAUCCUGGCUCAGAGCGAACGCUGGCGGCAGGCUUAACACAUGCAAGUCGAGCGGGCCCUUCGGGGUCAGCGGCGGACGGGUGAGUAACGCGUGGGAACGUGCCUUCUGGUUCGGAAUAACCCUGGGAAACUAGGGCUAAUACCGGAUACGCCCUUUUGGGGAAAGGUUUACUGCCGGAAGAUCGGCCCGCGUCUGAUUAGCUAGUUGGUGGGGUAACGGCCUACCAAGGCGACGAUCAGUAGCUGGUCUGAGAGGAUGAUCAGCCACACUGGGACUGAGACACGGCCCAGACUCCUACGGGAGGCAGCAGUGGGGAAUAUUGGACAAUGGGCGCAAGCCUGAUCCAGCCAUGCCGCGUGAGUGAUGAAGGCCUUAGGGUUGUAAAGCUCUUUUAUCCGGGACGAUAAUGACGGUACCGGAGGAAUAAGCCCCGGCUAACUUCGUGCCAGCAGCCG